AUUCCUCCCAGACAAUGCUGGAGAAGCAUUUCAAAAUACAGUGACCUAGAGGUUAAAAUCAAGGUCUCUCUGACUGCUGUUCCUUCUCUUUGAUAACCUCAAAGGGGCUGAGAUAAACUUGCCUUUGACUUUCAGUCACUGACCUGGAAAU